UUUAAGGCAAGUAGGUAGGAGAGAUCAAAUGAAAAAUUCAGGACAGCACUGGAGAAGAUGUAGUUUAAGAACCAAAUUUUAUAAUAAUGUAAUACACUGAAUAAAGCAAUGAUUCAAGUACCAUCUUUUGAGCCUGACAACACCAGCCUAUGUGGAGAGGUCAGGAAGGGAGAGAGGCUGCUUUGGUUUCCCUUUGCUGUGAUGGACCUCAGCUGCCUGGCCUUGUAUCCCAGUUUUGUUUCUUCCACGCUGGCUGUAAGGCGUGAUAAAAAUAUGGUGAGUGCCGCUGCUGAGUGCCAUCCAACGGAAAGGCAGGCUCAUGAAAACAUUACUGCGUGUUCUCAUCCACCUUAUUCCCACUCUGACUGCACACAACUUCUGGCUCUUCCCCACAGUCAAAAUGAGCUCAAAAGGUGA
rnacentral:lncRNA from 1 species